GAUGAAGAACGUAGCGAAAUGCGAUAAGUAAUGCGAAUUGCAGAAUCCGUGAGUCAUCGAAUCUUUGAACGCACAUUGCGCCCUUUGGUAUUCCGAAGGGCAUGCCUGUUCGAGCGUCAUUAUCACCCCUCAAGUCCCGGCUUGGUGUUGGGCUCUCGGUGGUCGUCUCCGACCACCCGUCUCAAAGAUAGUGACGGCGUCCCAGAGGGAACCGGUACGAGGAGCUUUCACGAGCAUGUACGCGGGACGACUCUGCGGGCGACGGUCUUAUUUACUUUAUAUACAAGUGUUGACCUCGGAUCAGGUAGGAAUACCCGCUGAACUUAAGCAUAUCAAUAAGCGGAGGA
rnacentral:misc_RNA from 1 species